rnacentral:rRNA from 1 species
UUAUGAAUAAGGAUCGGCUAACUCCGUGCCAGCAGCCGCGGUAAUACGGAGGAUCCGAGCGUUAUCCGGAUUUAUUGGGUUUAAAGGGAGCGUAGGCGGAUUAUUAAGUCAGUUGUGAAAGUUUGCGGCUCAACCGUAAAAUUGCAGUUGAUACUGGUAGUCUUGAGUGCAGCAGAGGUAGGCGGAAUUCGUGGUGUAGCGGUGAAAUGCUUAGAUAUCACGAAGAACUCCGAUUGCGAAGGCAGCUCACUAGACUGCAACUGACACUGAUGCUCGAAAGUGUGGGUAUCAAACAGGAUUAGAUACCCUGGUAGUCCACACAGUAAACGAUGAAUACUCGCUGUUUGCGAUAUACAGUAAGCGGCCAAGCGAAAGCAUUAAGUAUUCCACCUGGGGAGUACGCCGGCAACGGUGAAACUCAAAGGAAUUGACGGGGGCCCGCACAAGCGGAGGAACAUGUGGUUUAAUUCGAUGAUACGCGAGGAACCUUACCCGGGCUUGAAUUGCAACUGAAUGAUGUGGAGACAUGUCAGCCGCAAGGCAGUUGUGAAGGUGCUGCAUGGUUGUCGUCAGCUCGUGCCGUGAGGUGUCGGCUUAAGUGCCAUAACGAGCGCAACCCUUGUUGUCAGUUACUAACAGGUUCCGCUGAGGACUCUGACAAGACUGCCAUCGUAAGAUGUGAGGAAGGUGGGGAUGACGUCAAAUCAGCACGGCCCUUACGUCCGGGGCUACACACGUGUUACAAUGGGGGGUACAGAAGGCAGCUACCUGGCGACAGGAUGCUAAUCCCAAAAACCUCUCUCAGUUCGGAUCGAAGUCUGCAACCCGACUUCGUGAAGCUGGAUUCGCUAGUAAUCGCGCAUCAGCCAUGGCGCGGUGAAUACGUUCCCGGGCCUUGUACACACCGCCCGUCAAGCCAUGGGAGCCGGGGGUACCUGAAGUGCGUAACCGCGAGGAGCGCCCUAGGGUAAAACUGGUGACUGGGGCUAAGUCGUAACAAGGUAGCCGUACCGGAAGGUGCGGCUG